CUAUAGCACCGCCCCCCACAUACUGGAGUCUGUGGGUAGCAGGUGGCGUCGAGUGUGGAGGUGUUGGAGUGGCUUUUGCAUCGAGUUUUGGAGCCAUUCUGGAAAUUGUUUGCAGUUGUUUUGGGACUUUUUGGUGCAAAAAUAUUUGUUUCUGUAACAUGAUGCAAAUCAAGUUUUGACAGGUGUCUAGAAAACAAUUAAGCUUUGUUCUCCCUGUUUUGUGCCUGUACACAAUUUAUUUCUUCCCUCUGUGCAUUUUAUUAAGCAUACAGUUUGAGUAUACAACGCAAAUACGUGAGCACUGGCAGAUAUCCCAAAAUACCUUUAUCACAAGACCCCCCUCCAUGAAGUUUGAAACCUGGUUUUCAAUGUGAUUUAAGAAUAUUCACAAUUUCAAAUUAGUAUUUUAUUGAACUUAUAAUCUUUGAGAUAUAUCACUCUUCCAC